GUUGUAUUUCAUUCUAUUGUUGUAUUUCAUUCUAUUGUCGUAUUUCAUUUGAUUGUAUUAUGUAUUGUAUAUUAAUGCAAUAAAAUCGAUGUAUUCAAGGCGUUGUCCUGUGUAGCAAAAUAAAACAUGGAUUUAAAACAUCACACCAAAAAGCAGCAACAACAACAACAAAUGAAGUGAACAAUAAAUGAAAAUAAUAAUGAUAGGGGACGGUCAGGAGUGAAAAAGUGUGGAAGUCCAAAUCGUUCCUCCAGAAUAGUGUUAGGAGCACGUUUGUAGUGGUGGAUUUUUUUUGGAGAGCAUCCCAUUUCUAUUUCUACUGUAAUUCUGUUCAUAUUUCCAUAUUUCUAUUGAUAUUCCACUGAUAAUUCUGUUUCUAUUUAUACCGUUCAUUUGGUUCAUCUCGCCAUAUCUGAAAUAUUUAUACUCUUGUUAUCACCGGGGAUAAGAGGGAAACACUAUUUCAAUUCUCUGUAUGUCCUGCACAUAUGGCAUUAUUGAUCAUAAAGUUGACUUGACUUGAACACUGAUAAAGUUGAUUCAAGAUGUUGAAGCUUGAAAAAACUGUUGUGAUCAGUGGUCAAUGACCUCCAUCUGGUGGACAAAAAAAACCAUUGCACCCACCUGAUCAAGUCACAAUCCCCAUGAUUCCCACACUCACAAAGCAUUAAAAAGCAGUGAUUUUGAGUGCAAAUCCAAUGGAAAUGCAGUCAGUGGAAGCCAAAGACUAUUGUUAGCCGAAGUCAAGUGUUUUAGUGUUUCAUCUUGGACACUGCC
rnacentral:misc_RNA from 1 species